GAUGAACGCUGGCGGCGUGCCUAAUACAUGCAAGUCGAGCGAACGGACGAGAAGCUUGCUUCUCUGAUGUUAGCGGCGGACGGGUGAGUAACACGCGGAUAACCUACCUAUAAGACUGGGAUAACUUCGGGAAACCGGAGCUAAUACCGGAUAAUAUUUUGAACCGCAUGGUUCAAAAGUGAAAGACGGUCUUGCUGUCACUUAUAGAUGGAUCCGCGCUGCAUUAGCUAGUUGGUAAGGUAACGGCUUACCAAGGCAACGAUGCAUAGCCGACCUGAGAGGGUGAUCGGCCACACUGGAACUGAGACACGGUCCAGACUCCUACGGGAGGAAGCAGUAGGGAAUCUUCCGCAAUGGGCGAAAGCCUGACGGAGCAACGCCGCGUGAGUGAUGAAGGUCUUCGGGUCGUAAAACUCUGUUAUUAGGGAAGAACAAAUGUGUAAGUAACUGUGCACAUCUUGACGGUACCUAAUCAGAAAGCCACGGCUAACUACGUG
rnacentral:rRNA from 1 species